rnacentral:rRNA from 1 species
AAUGAACGCUGGCGGCGUGGAUAAGACAUGCAAGUCGAACGGAGUUAGCAAUAAGCUUGCUUAAGGCAAACUCAGUGGCGAACGGGUGAGUAACACGUGAAUAAUCUGCCUUGAAGUGGGGGAUAGCCCUGGGAAACUAGGAUUAAUACCGCAUGUGGUCGAGAGACUAAAGCAGCAAUGCGCUGUAAGAUGAGUUCGCGUCCUAUUAGCUAGUUGGUGAGGUAACUGCUCACCAAGGCCUUGAUAGGUAGCCGGUCUGAGAGGAUGUCCGGCCACACUGGAACUGAGACACGGUCCAGACACCUACGGGUGGCAGCAGUCGAGAAUCAUUCACAAUGGGGGCAACCCUGAUGGUGCGACGCCGCGUGGGGGAAGAAUGUCUUCGGAUUGUAAACCCCAGUCAUGUGGGAGUAAGCUAGUGAUAGUUGAUAGUACCACAAGAGGAAGAGACGGCAAACUCUGUGCCAGCCGCCGCUGUAA